rnacentral:misc_RNA from 1 species
CAGAAGUUGAACCAACGGCAUUGCCCACUCUCCAAACACACACACGCACUGCACCGCCACACGCAUACAACUAUAUCGUAACACGAAGGACUUUCUCCGUGUUCUCUCUUUGUUACGAACAGUUGAUUGCCAUUUUUUUUUGUUUUAUUCCCUUGACGUUGCUUGUCUUCUGCCUCUGGUGCGCUGCUGCUGAUCUUCUCUGUGGUUGUGUGUACCGGCGCAGCUCUUUCUUUCUCUCGUUCAGACUAAAGGGCCCCCGUCAUCGAUCGCCAUACGCACUAAGACGCUGAGCUACUCCAUACCCUGCUCCGCUCACCCCUUCUGUCCCAAAUAUACCCCUCUCCCACCUCACUCUCGAGCGCCCCACUGCCCAUUUUCAGCCUCGCUGCCCGGAAAUCUCUCGAUUGCUUACUUGGUAGGCGACACCUUUGUGCGCGCGCCGUGUGUACCCGUUCGGUGCACUUUCCCCUUCUAUUCCUCUUUGAGGCGCUUAUAUAUUUAUAUACAUCAUUUGCCGUUCAUCUCCGAGCACUCCGUCGGCUCAUAUUUUUCACGCGUGUCUCGCACUGCUUCAGACCACGCGGUGAGCCUGCGACUGGGCCCAAGAAGGAGUCGAGUAGACUUUAAUUCAGGUUGUACGGCAGAGUGUGGACGCCGCCUGACAAGUAAAGGUUUCCUUCGCCGGACAGUUUCUGUACGCCCCCGCCUCCUUUUCCGUUUGCGUUUUCUUUUUUUUGUGUGGACUUUUUCGCCCUUUUUGCUUCGAUUUGUUUGUGAGAGUCUUGCCUCCCCUCUCCCUCGACGCCCUUUCCCUUUCGCACACCUCAGGUGACUCUCCACUCGCGUGCCCCAUCUCUCGCUCCCUUCACCUUGGGCGUGUGCGGUGCUCACUCCUCCUUCAUCUCUUACCUUUUUUCCCUUUACGGUGCGAUCCUCGAUCUUGUGCUCCUUGCCCGUCCGCCUACCCCUCGCUACCUCCGGAGACCUUCGCCCUCUGUGUGCGUGUGAAAGAGAAGCCUCUCUGAAUCUGCAGCUUCUCGUGUCCAGUUGACACGGCCGUGGCGGUUGUGCUCUCCGACUGCACAGAUCUUCGGUUUCUUUAUCUCCCCCCCAUACACGUACGAAAAUUGCUCACAAGCAUGUCCAUUCGUGCGGUGUGUUGGCUUCAAUCGAAGCUCGGCCUCGACAUUGGCGGUCGUAGCUCCGGCGACGAUGGAAGUGGCACCCUUGGCAGCGGUGAGCUGGCCGGCUUCUCCACGACGCAGAACCGCAGCUACAGCACAGACCCUGUCGCGACCGUGAACGGCGACCCUGAACCUAGCCGGAGCGGUCGUGGGAUUGGCGGCGGCGCCGGCACGUUUUCCGGCCUGGCCAGCGGAUGGGAGUCAAAGCUGGGCCUGGUGUGGAGGCAGGCAAGCGACAAGGCGACGCAGUACUGGAACACCAACAUGCGCCGUCGAGGGAGCAAAGACCCAUUCGGCUUUGGGCCAGCGGGGGCGCAAGGCGACUUCGGCGGCAACACCGCGGCGGGUGACAACCCCGAGCUAGACGAAAACGGCCUUCCAGUGACUCGAAACUGGUACUACUACGACGCGCAGCUUGGCCGCUGGACUGUGUCGCGAGAUGCCCCGGAGAGUGUGCAGCAGGAGUACUACGAAAAACUCGAGGAGGCGGAGCGGGAGCGGCUGGGGCAGAAAAAGGUGGGGCCGCCGCCGCCGACCGCCAUUGCUGGAGGGCCGCCACCACUUCUCGGGGCAGCCGGGGGUGGUCACGGCAGCCAAAGCCCACACUACGCGAUCCCGGAUUACUUCGGUAACGCGGGAGCAACCUCAGUGGCACCGCCGCAGCAGGCGCAGCCCUACGGCGUCUACGGCGGCACCCCCCCGCAACAUGCCCAAUCAACCUCUCCCGGGUUGUCUCCUCCGUCGGCAGCGAUAGGCACGCAACCUGGCACCUACUACCCGCCUACCCCGCUGAUCUCCAGCACAACUGCUUCGGCGACCAUCCAGGCUACAACGUACAGGCAGCCACUAUCGGCCCACUCGCAGGUGGCACCUCCGCCGCCGCCUGCGCAGGCAUACUUGCCAGCGAUGCCUUCCAUAUCAAUGUCGACCUACCCCGUCGCCGGAGGUGCGUAUCCCGCCGCCUCCGCUUCACCGACGUCUAACACGCACGCAUUGUCAUUGCAACCGCUGCCGCACAUGGCCGUGUCGGAGCCGCCAAAGACAGCGAUGACGGUCUCCUCUCCACCACCGCCUAUCCUGGCCUCACCGACGCCGUCACACCUACUCUCGCAGCCGCACGUCUACUCGUCUCCGGCGCACAACGGCAUGCCCGUAUCUCCGCCAGCUCCUGCAGUGUCGCAGCAAUACGCGUCACCGCUUCUUCAGUCGCAGUCGACGGAGCACAACCGCUCUGCCUCGGGCAACAGCGGCGCAGGUGUGUCUUCUCUGUCCUUUGCGCACGCGAGCGCACCUGCACCUGCGCCAUGCGCAAGCGCUGCUCCAGACGCAUACCCGUACGGCGGUGGCAGCGUCAGCAAUAACGUUCAGGAUUCAACUACAGCCGUUGCGAGCGUCGGCAUCCCAACCCCUUCACAGACGUCCUUUGUCCUGAAAGCGGCUGCACAUGGGCUACAGCCUCCGCCACCGACAAGCGACCCUUACGCCUAUCCCGCACCCGUAACUACAGCAGCGACCGCCCAGGCGUUUGCGCCUGCUCCCGCCGCACCCGUGCAGCCUCAACCGCUCAAGGCGGAGGCGAACGGCUACGAUGAGCACCCCUCUGCUCCCUCGAUGGGCACCUUCCAGACCACGAGCGCUGCGGCAGUGCGACCGAGUGCGAUCGGACUGCCGCCGCCGCCAUCCUUCAAGCCAUUUUCUCCGUCUUAAUGCACGCGCACCAUGACUGCGCGAGCAACACAUCGUGAGAGUGCGUGAGGCGUCACAGGCUGAGAGAAGGCGGAGCAACAGACACACAGACAAAGAAAACGGAGACGAGCUCGUGCGCACGACGAAGACGCGCUCAAAAACGAAAACGCUCGAAAUGUGCCGCUCACACCUUUCCUGUUUGGAUAUCCCUGCCCAUGUGUAGGGCGCGUCUCGGACGUGUGGUUGUGUGUGCUGCUGUUUGUGUGCUUCCGUCUCUUGAGGCCUCUCCUCCUCGCCUUCCAUCCUAAGCACGGGCACAGCUACGUGUAUAGAUCGGCACACAGAGACACGUGCCUGUGCAGCCCCCCUGUCCCUCCUCGUCUUUUCUCUCUCUCUGCGACCGCCUUUCCCCCCUCCGUGUUUUGGUGUGUGUGUAUGCGGCGUUCGCGUCUUUUUAUGUUUUUUCUUUUGUACCGCAUCAAAAUCGUUUUGGCUCUCCUCCUUCUUGCCAUUUUGCCGGCCACCUCUCACCCCUGCCAUCAGCGCCUGGCAACUCACCCUGUGUGGGGCAGGCCAAGCAGCCUGCAGCCUGCCCUCGAGUGCGGUUGCGGACUCUCGGUGCGGGCGGACAGGUCUGGGCUGGCGCUGCGCCGAAGAGGCGUUAUGGCCGUGACCACGUUUGCACCAGCUCAGUGCGAGCUGUGCCGAUGAUUGUACAAACAUACACACCCACUUCCUGUUUUUCUGCUUUAGCUGCGUUGCGGUAGUGCUGAGCAUUGGUCUGGGCCUAGCCUGCGCUGUACGCAGUGGAGUUGCCGUGGGCUGGACGACGCCGAGCGGCAUUGCUUGGUGUGGCUUCUUGACAUGGCUGUGGUGCAACGGAGGCAGAUGAGGGGCGACCGUAUGCGCAUCUUCGCUGACUCGGUUUGAUGCUGCGCUGAAACGAACAAGGAAAAGAAGCUCUGCGUGCCGUGUGGUGCAGGUGUCUUCCUACGCUCUCGCGCAAUUUUUUUUUGUGCUUAUGUAUGCUUCACUCCCUUUGCUGCGCUGGAGUUUUUCUCUCCUUUCUCAAUGCCCAUGGCGAUCGCGGGUUUCGGCCCUCCCGCCUUCGUGUAUAUUUCAGAUGUUCACGGUGACGUGCGACCGUCACCCUCUCUUUCUGUGUAUUCAUGGUGAUCUCUCUUUGCUGCUCUUGUCGGUUCGAGGAUCUGUUCCAUCAGAGGUGUUGAACUGCUCCUCAUCCCGUUUUUCCUUUUUUCUGUUGGCACCCUCCCCUCACCACCCUGCAAGGUCAUUUAGAAGGGGGUACGUCUGAGUCUCUGCUGCGCGGCAUCUCUUUCACUCUGCAGCCCUCCCCCCUCUUGCUCAGCUGUGUCUUUUGUCUUUCCUUCAUCUCUCGGUGUCUUCCCUGCCCUUGCGCGCCGGCUACCGCUACAGGCGUCUGCUCACCUUCGCACGACUAGCCCUGCCGACCUCGCCAUCUUCCUCGCCCCCUGCUCCGGGAAAGCCCUCUCUCGCGGUUGGCGGGUGGAGGGGGAGGAAGGGAAGGCGGAAGAGGGUUUGGUUGCAGUGCAUUGAGGAGAGCAAGCGCGCCGCUUCUCGUGUGCUUGCAUGAAAGCCGCUUGUUGUGGCGAAAGCCGCGGUUGUUUCACACCCAAGAUGCUAGCGAGGCCGUGAGGAGGGGAGGCGCCACAUCUGUGCAUGUGGAGGGCUAUGGUAAGUAUGUGGGGCGUGCCUCGUCGAAGUGAGGCUCCGGUGUUUGUGCGCCUCUGCGCUGGGUGUGGGUACCGGUAGUAUGUGUGGCAUCGCAUGCUUUGUUUCCCGUGUGGACUUGCUUUUUCAGUCUUUCUCAGGGACUCUGCCACUCGACAGGGGCCAUUUUUCUUCCGUUGUUUCUGUUCAGCUGAUGCCGAGCAAGCGAUUGCGGGCAUGGCAGGCGAGCGAGAUGGAAGACACACGUUCGUGUCCGUGGCGGCGCGGAUUUUGCCGAUGUCGCCUGCGAGUACGUGUGGGCAGUGAGACAUUCAGUUUUCUUUCAU